UUUCCAGCUUCUGGCUAUUAUAAAUAAGGCUGCUGAAAGACCCCCGAAGCAAGGAGACCCUCACUCAAGUCUUGGGAUGACGUGAUCCCCAAGAACUCACGUAAGACC
rnacentral:pre_miRNA from 14 species